AAGUUAGUUCAUGUCAUGGCAGUUCAUUGAGUUGGUGGGGUACUGGGGUACUGCGGAAAAUUUCAUCAAAAUAAUAAUAAAAUCUGAGUCAUUCUAACAAAACUUUCUGCAGAAACCUGCAGAGAUGAAUAACAUGGAUAAUUUGAAGUUAUUUAGCUCGAUGGGGUCGGAAGAAAACUGGAGAACGCCAAACUUUAGACAAAGCGUUGUUUCGAAGAUUGAAGAAGUAAUCCAGCGCUCCGGCAUGCAAGUGGCUAGAAACAGCAGCGAGAUGGAGAACCAUGUGUUCAAUAAGGCGAAGACGCGAGAGGAAUACAUGAACAUGGUGGCUAAACUUAUACUGCAUGUUCGGGAGAUGUCUGCUCAACCUAAACAGAACCAAGGCCAAGCCAUGCAAGGUCCCAACCAAAGCCAGGCUGGCCCCAAUCCACAGCAGAACCAACAACCCAACCAACAAGGGCCAAAUCAACCUGGCCUGGCUCCGGACCCUAUCAACGCUCUACAGAAUCUUGCCUCGCAGGGGACAAGGAAUCAGAUGAUGAAUAUUGGACCUCAAGGCCAAAUGCAGCAACAAGGCGUAAUGGGCCCCAACCCAGGCAUGAUGCAGGGACAGAUGGGCCAGCAGACAAUAGUGUCCCAGGGCCAACCGCAGACAGCCACCAAUCUGCUGCAGACGCUCAACCAGCGGCCGCAGAUGAACAUGCUGCAGGGGAAACUGCAAGGCACUAUGGGCAUGGUCCCAAACCAGCCACCGAUGGGCGGUAUGGGCAUGUCAGGCAUGAACCCCAUGGGCAACCAGCUGCAAGGGCAGCUCGGGGCGGGCAUGCAGGGGCAGAUGAUGUCCAACAUGCCCAUGGGCGCCAGCAUGCCCAUGGGCGGCAACAUGCAGUGUCAGCCCGGCAUGCAGGGGCAGAUGCAAGGACAGAUGCAGGGGCAGAUGGUAGGCGGCAUGGGCAACAACCCAAUGGUGAACAGCCACAUGCUGCACAUGCGGCCGAAGCAAGAUGUGGGCAUGGUGGGCUACCGGCAGCCUCCGGGGCAGUUCCUCCGGCAGAGCCCCAGCCCGUCCGCGCCCAGCCCCAACAUGCCCCAGCCUAGCCCCGUGUCCAUGCAAGGAGUGCUGGGCGGCGCGCUGCCGUCGCCGCUGGGGCUGGGCGCGCUGGGCGCGUGCGGCGGCGCGGGCGCCGGCUCGCCCUCCUCGCACAUGCAGCACCACGCGCCUCAACAAAGAGUGAGCAUGGGCAUGGUGGCGUCCCCAUCUUCAUCCCUGAACACGCCGGUGGGCGCGUCCGUGGCGUCCCCCAGCAACGAAGACGCCGCCUACAGGGACAAGGUGCGCCAGCUCAGCAAGUACAUCGAGCCUCUACGGAGAAUGGUGCACCGAAUGGUCAGCGAGGGAGAAAAUGUGGAGAAGCUGACAAAGAUGAAGAAUCUCCUCGACAUUCUGUCAAACCCGAACAAGCGGAUGCCUCUGGAGACCCUCAUCAAAUGCGAGGUGGUGCUGGAAAAGCUGGACUUCAAACGCGGGGACGGACUAGGCGUGCCCGCUGCUUCUGGAAAGGAGCAAAUCUUCAAUCCCCUACUAGAGGUGGUAAACAACUGCCUUUCUUCGCCGCUUGCUAACCACACGCUCAAACGGACGUUCGGAUCCACGCUAGACGCGCUCAACGGGCCUGAAAUCAAAAAUUUACCACCCCCAUUAAAGGUACCGAAAAUAGAAGAGCCUGCCAUGGAAAUACCAGAUGUGUUGCAAGGAGAAAUCGCUCGAUUAGACUCAAGAUUUAAGGUUUCCUUAGAAACGAUGCAGCUCGCGGGCGGCAACGGCGCCAUAUCCCUCGUGGCCAUGCUGGACGACGCGCGCCUGCCGUGCGUGCCGUCCGUGCUGCUGUCCGUGCCGCGCGGCUACCCGGCGCGCCCGCCGGCGCGGCUCCGGCCCCGGCACGGGAAACACGACAAGCACGAGUUCCUGGCGAGGGUGGAGCAGGCCAUGGACGCGAGGGUUGCUAGGUAAGGACACUGCCGUGCGUGCCGUCCGUGCUGCUGUCCGUGCCGCGCGGCUACCCGGCGCGCCCGCCGGCGCGGCUCCGGCCCCGGCACGGGAAACACGACAAGCACGAGUUCCUGGCGAGGGUGGAGCAGGCCAUGGACGCGAGGGUUGCUAGGUAAGGACACUGCCGUGCGUGCCGUCCGUGCUGCUGUCCGUGCCGCGCGGCUACCCGGCGCGCCCGCCGGCGCGGCUCCGGCCCCGGCACGGGAAACACGACAAGCACGAGUUCCUGGCGAGGGUGGAGCAGGCCAUGGACGCGAGGGUUGCUAGGUAAGGACACUGCCGUGCGUGCCGUCCGUGCUGCUGUCCGUGCCGCGCGGCUACCCGGCGCGCCCGCCGGCGCGGCUCCGGCCCCGGCACGGGAAACACGACAAGCACGAGUUCCUGGCGAGGGUGGAGCAGGCCAUGGACGCGAGGGUUGCUAGGUAAGGACACUGCCGUGCGUGCCGUCCGUGCUGCUGUCCGUGCCGCGCGGCUACCCGGCGCGCCCGCCGGCGCGGCUCCGGCCCCGGCACGGGAAACACGACAAGCACGAGUUCCUGGCGAGGGUGGAGCAGGCCAUGGACGCGAGGGUUGCUAGGUAAGGACACUGCCGUGCGUGCCGUCCGUGCUGCUGUCCGUGCCGCGCGGCUACCCGGCGCGCCCGCCGGCGCGGCUCCGGCCCCGGCACGGGAAACACGACAAGCACGAGUUCCUGGCGAGGGUGGAGCAGGCCAUGGACGCGAGGGUUGCUAGGUAAGGACACUGCCGUGCGUGCCGUCCGUGCUGCUGUCCGUGCCGCGCGGCUACCCGGCGCGCCCGCCGGCGCGGCUCCGGCCCCGGCACGGGAAACACGACAAGCACGAGUUCCUGGCGAGGGUGGAGCAGGCCAUGGACGCGAGGGUUGCUAGGUAAGGACACUGCCGUGCGUGCCGUCCGUGCUGCUGUCCGUGCCGCGCGGCUACCCGGCGCGCCCGCCGGCGCGGCUCCGGCCCCGGCACGGGAAACACGACAAGCACGAGUUCCUGGCGAGGGUGGAGCAGGCCAUGGACGCGAGGGUUGCUAGGUAAGGACACUGCCGUGCGUGCCGUCCGUGCUGCUGUCCGUGCCGCGCGGCUACCCGGCGCGCCCGCCGGCGCGGCUCCGGCCCCGGCACGGGAAACACGACAAGCACGAGUUCCUGGCGAGGGUGGAGCAGGCCAUGGACGCGAGGGUUGCUAGGUAAGGACACUGCCGUGCGUGCCGUCCGUGCUGCUGUCCGUGCCGCGCGGCUACCCGGCGCGCCCGCCGGCGCGGCUCCGGCCCCGGCACGGGAAACACGACAAGCACGAGUUCCUGGCGAGGGUGGAGCAGGCCAUGGACGCGAGGGUUGCUAGGUAAGGACACUGCCGUGCGUGCCGUCCGUGCUGCUGUCCGUGCCGCGCGGCUACCCGGCGCGCCCGCCGGCGCGGCUCCGGCCCCGGCACGGGAAACACGACAAGCACGAGUUCCUGGCGAGGGUGGAGCAGGCCAUGGACGCGAGGGUUGCUAGGUAAGGACACUGCCGUGCGUGCCGUCCGUGCUGCUGUCCGUGCCGCGCGGCUACCCGGCGCGCCCGCCGGCGCGGCUCCGGCCCCGGCACGGGAAACACGACAAGCACGAGUUCCUGGCGAGGGUGGAGCAGGCCAUGGACGCGAGGGUUGCUAGAUUACCGAAAAGCUGCUCAGUAGGGCAGCUGCUGGACGCGUGGGAGAUGUCGGUGCGGCAGGCGUGCGCGCCGCACCCCGUCGCCUACACGCCCGUGCCCGCGCUGGGACUGUGAGCUAUCAGUAGGAUGGGGGGGGGGGACAAAGGUCCAAGCUAAGCAGAGACAACCUAUCACUCGGACAUCUUUAAAAAAUAUGACUAAACACGACAAAAACAAAUACAAACGCAACAAGAAAACAAAUCGAAAACACGCCACGGCGGUACUCGUCCCAAAUUCUCUGGUGUAUGCAUUCUUUGAAAGCCUCUAGGUACCUUUCAGCUGGCUCGAAAACCGAACAGAUUUCGAAACCGUUAUCAUGUAAUUGGGGCAAAACCUUUUAAUUUCGGUUUCGUUCGUAUUUUUAUUCCGGUUUUAGGAAAACAUUUCCAUGAAGUUCUUGUCUGAUUAACCGGUUUAGUACAAUAAAACCGGUUUCUUCCUAUGGUUUCCUUGUUUACGCAUCAUACCACCGGGCCGAACCGUCUCGUCGCUCGUCGAAUAAACCGGUUUAUCUCUUCCUUUUCGGAAUAAAACCAAAAUGAACCGGUAUUUACCGUUAUUUUUAAAACCGAGCCUUCCAAGGCAACUUAGCGCGAGCAGUGUCUGCGUGCAACUCCUAUACGAAUCCUUUACUGAUUACGGUAUAGCUAGAGAGAUGGUGCUGCCAUCUAUCCAACUAGGGAACAAAUAAAAUUAUUUUAUGAAAAUAACGAUGAUAAUUUCAGUUUAUAAAUUCAAACACAUUCAAAAGAACGUGAUCAUUUAAUUACAUUAUUUGCUUUUCGAUUUGUCUUAACGAUCGAUCGUCUUAUGUCAUGAGAUCAUGACAGCUCGGGCAUGGAAAAUUGACGCUAGGAAAAUGUACUGUCGAAAUAAUCUAUAAUUCACGUUAUAUCUUAACUAAAUGCAAUCAAAUAUCAAACAUUAUUCAGCAAAUAGGACACAGGGGCAUGCCCAUUUUUACAAAAAAUAUUAAUUACAAAAUACAAUUACGAAAAUGGAAUCGAUGAAAUAAUAUUUACUUUGAAUGAAUUAUUGCUAAAGUAAGGGCGCUAAACACGAUUAAUUUCGUACAUUGACCCACAUAUAUUACUAUCCCACUCGCACAGUAUCAUUUACCGCCGGUUUCAUGGGCGAGACAGCAGUAUAAUUACGCGCGUGCGAUAGAGAUAGAAAUAGGUGGGUCAACGUACGAAAUUCCGUAAUAUUGACUUUUCAGUGUCAGAUUUUCGUGAAAGUAGUAUUUACGUUAAUCAGUAGUUCUUUAUUAUUUCUAAACCUGUCCUUGAAUAAUUAUAAGAAAUUUUAUUAUCAAAAUUAUUUUUAGUUUAAAAUUUAAACAUAAUUUAGUUAAGUAAUGAUAUUUAUUAGGGAUUCUCUUUUUAACUCAUAUUAAACUUGUCUUUGACGUGAUAAGUAUCUGUGAUAAUUUAAUAUUUGUACUAAUACAAACAAUUUGCAGUUUUUAUACAGAAAUCAACACAUUUUAUACAUACAGGUAAUAAAUACCUAUUUUCCGUCAAAAUGUUUGCUUGCCAGCUUAUGUCUAUACGUUUUCACGUGUCAGACAUAACAAAUAUAUUGUCUUAUAUAGACGACCUAUUGCACGGUUUUACGUUUCAGGAGGCUGUUCCAUAGUUCAUAAUAGCUGUAUCAGACGGGCAUACCGGACCGCGACCAUCGGCCGGUCCGAGGCUUGUUCGAUCGAGUGUAAGGUCAGCUAAAGAAUGGAAUGCGCUCCCGCCAUCUGUAUUCCCUGAUAAAUAUGACCUCGGUCUCUUUGAAGCAACAGUGAAUAGGCUACUACUGAACCGGUGAGCUCCAUCUUAGGCCCUGUCUUCACUUUCCAUCAGGUUGUCUAGAGCCAUUCGCCGAUCAGUUUUUAAUAUAAAAAAGUGGUCCGCCGUACGUCCGUUAAGGACGCAGCUCUAAGUGAGAGCGAGAAACAGAUAUUUUGACCGAACCUAAGUCGCGGUCCUGUACGCCCGUCUGUUAUGGCUUUAAGGCAGAUAAAAGUGAUACUAGACGAAAAAAAAGGCAUACGGUGUAGUAACUUCAAAAAUGGACUCUAAUGUGAUGAAAUUACGGUUAAUUAUCGAAAUUACCCGACAUUUUGUAGUAUUCGGAUUUAUAUGAAAUCACCUUACCAAAUUUUUUUUUUUUUACUGUCAUGAAAUUUUCGAUCCUCUAAAUUAUUCUAACUUUUUCACAAAAGACAAUAUUAACAUUAUUUCCAUGAAAUGGGAUCAAAAGAAAUAUAAUCAACAGUGUACUGAUUUUUUAGAAUUAAGAGGUCCCUGAAGUCUUCGAAUUGAUGUUGUAAGUGUUUUAAAGCAAUAAUUGUUUUAAAUAAAUGUCUAUAUUAAAA